UCGCCUUGGGUCUAGGGAGGGCAGAUGGCAGAGGCAGGAGAGCAGAAGCAUUUCCUCCUUCAGCGUCCGAGACGGAAAAGCAAAUCUGCUGGACAAAAGAACCUCCACGUUUUAUGUGUUCUGUUGUCAGGCGCUUCACGGCGACAGAGCGAUGUCGAAGGUGAGUCAGGUGCUGUGGCUGGAAGGUCAGGACGGCCAGUCAGCAAAGCCUUCCUUCCACUGCCCGCCUGGCCCCACUGACCCCUCUUCCUCUUCCUCCUCCCCUCCCUGUCGGCCAGUAUUCUCAUCCCUGGUCCUCAGCCCGCUGCUGGGCGUGGACGCUGUGGGGAUACUUUAUGGACAAGUUUUUACUCUCCCUGGAGCAGGGAGAGGUCCGGGUAAGUUCAGUGACUUGGCCAAGGGGCUGUGGUCAGGGAGUAAGAAGUCUGCCCCCGACAGCCACGUGAGCCAUCAGGAGGCUUUUAGACACAGCGAGCGCUGCUGUGCCCUCUUGGGCCCGAUGGUCUAGGAAAGUCCAAACUCAUUUCCUGAAAUAAGGAUGACAUUUAGUAAGGCAGUCUGGAAGCUGAAAACAAGUGGUCAGAGCCUCCCCUCCUCCCGACCGGUCCACAGGGCAUCUGCCAAAGCCUGGUGCCCUACAGAGAAUAGGACAAGAACACAGCCCGCAGGAAAACUGCUCUGCUCAUCUCCCCACUUUGCCCUGUUCUCUUCCCUUCCUCUGUCCCAAGCCCCCGGACCUGCCAGGCCCAGAGGAGGUCACAGAAUAUUUUUGAUCAUGGUCCUGGCGGUGGGAGUGAUGGGCUGUCCGAGGAGCACCCGGGAGACCAGCUGGAUGCAAGCAUGAGCACCGUGGAGCCGCCUGGAGGCCAGCUUCUCACACCCAUGCUGUCUUCUGGAUUGUGGCACGUCCCUCCUAUCGGGUCUGCUGGCCACCGCUCCCACCUCCUCCGGCCCAGUCUCCACUCCAGCCAGAAAGGAGCAUUGCCAGGCACACACCCAGUAAGCUUGCUACUCACUUGAAAUCUGUGGUGGGUUUCCCAAAGCCCUCUGACUUAGCCUGAACCCCAACCUGACUUUGAGAUCCUCACGCUCAAUCCCCUGGCUCUCUCGGAAGUUCCUUCCCGCUGCUGCACCUCACGCUCCGCGCUCCAGACUCCCCCACUUCAGAGAAUCCAUCAUUCUUCCUCCUGCCUUCCAGAAAUUGCUUUGAACUCAAUGUCACUCUGCUCAGAACACCCUCACCAGCAACUCCCCCUUGCCCCCACCGGCCUGCAGGUCCGUGCCUGUCCUCUCCCGUCCCACCCCCUAAGCCAAGUGAGGCUAAGUGUCCUUCCCACGGCAGGCUGGGCCCCCCACCCCCACCCCGGAGCCCUCCCCACAACGUAGGCCAAGCUCCUAAUGUUCGUCUCUGUUCCCAGCUAGACAGAACCUCCACAAAGCACAGUGGUGGUCUCCAUAUCACUAGCCUGGUGCUGACGCCCCAGACCAGGCCUGCCUGUCUUUUGCUCACUCCAAGUCUCCCUCCAGCCAUUAGCGGGGGCAGGGGAGAUGCUCUGGGACUUGGUGCCAGGAUCCUAGCGCUGCUCGGUACUCCCCUCACUCCGUACCUUCAGGCAGGUCACUGUCCCUCUGGCCCUCAGUUUCUCUACCUGCUCUUCUCUUCCCACAAGCUCAGAAGUAAAGCGACCAAAGCAGCUUGAUUGACUGACUCCCAUUUUUUUCUUUAAGUUGACUUAUUUAUCUUGAGAGAGAGAGAGAGAGAGAGAGAGAGGAGAGCAGAGAGAGAAUCUCAAGCAGGCCCCCCGCUGCCAGCGCAGAGCCCAACACGGGGCUCGAACUCACAACCGGUGAGACCGUGAUCGGGGCAGAAGUCAAGUGACUGACUGACUCCCCUCGAAAAUGUUAUUUUAGCGUAGUAACAUGGUACCUACCACCUUAACAGAUGUCCAAGUGCACAAUACAGUAUCGUUGACUCUAGGUGCAGUAUUCUGUGGUUGACUCCGUUUUGGCGUGGGCUGGGGAGAGCUGGACUGCUGACAGUCCCCUGCCCACUGCCUGCCUUCCAGUGUCCCGGCCUGGGCAGCUGCGUCACAGGAGGCAGGGGUCUGGUGGGUGGGUUUGCAGUGGUUCAAUCAAGGGAGAAAGCGUGUGCCGAAACACAGACAGGGUCACCCAGAGAGCUGGGCUGGGGCCAGGGAAGUUUCCCCAGAUUCUUCAGAGACGUUGUGCUCCUUACCUCAGGGAAACAAUUAGCCAUUUCUCAGGGACCCAAGGAGGCAGAGUCAGAAACUGUGCCCCCACACACACAAACAGCCUCACAGAGCCUGGGGGCCAAGGCAGGGAGCUUAGCCGGGACACAAAGCAAGACAGUAAGGUGGCAGAAGAGAUGAGACAUUUUGCCCGGGGGCCUGUGAUCCAACAAAUUGCAUCUUUCCUGUCUGGCUUCAGGACAGACAGAGCGUUGGCCUGCUUCCUGCUCGCUACCCCUCCAAAGGCCAGCACCUGUUUGGCUUUGAGCCGCUACGUAAAAAACACGUAUUUGCCUGAUUUAACAGCCAAUGAUAGAUUCAUGAAUCAAAACUCCACUUUAUUUUUCUUUAAGUUUAUUCAUUUAUUUUGAGACACACUGAGACAGAGUGAGCGGGGGAGGGGUAAAGAGAGUGGGGGAGAGAGCGCGAGAGAGAAUCCCAAGCAGGCCCCGCACCAUCAGCACAGAGCCCAGUGUGGGGCUCGAACCCACAAAACCGUGAGAUCAUGACCUGAGCCGAAACCAAGAGUCGGACGCUGGACCGACUGAGCCACAUUGGUGCCCCUCAAAGCUUCACUUUAAAUUCUACCACAAAUGAUAAUCGUUGGCCAGUAUUGCCCGAGCCUGAAUCCCCGACACCAGACGAAAGUCAAACCCGUUUUAAUUUGCUCAUUGGCACUGAUAAGUUAAAAGAAACUCAUCUUCUAGCACAGACUAUGAGAUGGAAUUAGAACUCAUGAAGCCACACGUGUUCUUGCCUGAUGCUUUUGAUAAAGACAAAUACACUCCUUGUCAGAAGUUAAACAAAAUGAGUUUUAGGGACUACAAGUUCCCUCUGCCUUUGAGGAGGGGGUGAUCAGAGUGCUGCCCGAGAGAGAGAGCCUGUGGCCCUUCCUUUGCAGGCUAUGGGGCAAGAUUAGCUCAGCCCCUCUUUGGGACAUGCCUCUUUCUCCUCCUGCAUUCCCGGAUUUCCAGGCUAGUUGGGCUUCCUAAUUUGGAAGUCACCACAGAGCAAACGCUGACAGCACUUGAGUGUCCUGCUGUGAACUCCCUGAGAGGCAGUGGCCCUGGUUACAUAACACGCACCUCGGUUAACCCCUCCAAAUGCCUCUCAAGGUUCCCAAGCGGAGUGGAGAUGAGGCUCCAGACCCCCACGCACUGAAGCUGUGACAUCCGCACGCAGCCUUUCUGUUGCAUAGACAUUCCUCCCAGUCCUGCUCUCUUCCUGCUCUUUCCACUUUCCCCACCCCCUCACCCAGAGGUGGGCCUAGAAUCUCACUCUGGGCCAGCCCUCGAAGGCAAGGACCUCAUGGUCUUUGCAUCCACGCUAAUACUCAACACACUGUUGGGCUCAUC
rnacentral:lncRNA from 1 species